rnacentral:lncRNA from 1 species
AUUAGGGUGGGAGGGAGAUCAGGACUCUAGGAAUUCAGUGCCAGCCUCCCCUGCAGGUCAUUCAGAGGUUGGGGCCUUGGCAGGCCUUGGCAGGCGUCGGCUCAGAGCCAUGCAGCCAGCAGGCCCCACCUCCGUGUCUGGGAGGCAGCUGCUUCCAGGGAGCCCACAUCUGAUGGUGGAUCCCUCUCUCCUUAGGCUGCUCCAGGUGUGUGCCCCCUGGUCUUGGGGGGAACUUGGGAAUCCUGCACCUGAAGAUGAAGGAUUCGGAUGAAGGACCACUUACUGAACACGUCCUCUGUGGAUCCAGGCACUUUAAAUUCAUCAUCUCCAUCCUCACAGGCACCCUGCAAGGUCGCUGUGAAGAGUAAGAGAGUUGAUGGCUAGAAAACCAUUUGGUAAUCUGUAAAAUGCCACUGAGCGGAGCACUGUGUGGCACUAUGACCAUCGGGGGCUCUGUGCGAAGAGUCUGGGCUCUGAGAGGUACCUUGGCCUCCAGGCAACUAGCUUUUGGCCUGUGUUUACUGAGUUAUUUGGCUCCAUGUUAUUUUUCGAGGCACAUCACCUUGCCUGGUCUCACCUGUCCUCCUGCUUCACCUGGGACCUUGGCCGAACCACUCUACCCAUCUGUACCUCAGCCAUUCUCUCUGGAAAAUGAGUCUGCUACCUGACUCCACCUGUCUUAGGGAGAACCAUCAGAGCAAAUCAAGUUCAUUCACUGAGCCGGCCUUUAUUGAGGGUCUACUCUCUGGUACUUGGGGUAGAAUCAUGAAUAAAAGAAAACUCCUGCCCUAGAAGAAGGGACAGACAGUGAUCGGUCAGUUCCAGGGCAAUGCAAUUAAGUUACAGAAGAAAAAUGGGGAGCAUGUCAUGGAGGCCACCACGAACCCUGCGCUUCAAUAGCAGGAUUAGAAGGGAUCUUCUCGCCAACUUAAUUUCACUGCCACCUCUGCAAAAGAAGCUGUGUUGUGCUCGUCUUGGGAGAAAUGGUAAAAGCAGGGGCCAUUCGCCCUUCCUGCAUCCUUCUAACACACAGAGCGUCAAGGGGCGAAGUUUCUACACUUCUUACCAUGUUCUCAGGCUUAUUGUCCAGGGAGUGUCCUGAGCAGCCCAAAGUGCACCAAACACAGAUGAUGUCACAUCUGAGUGCUUUGCUAACUUGCCCACUGAAAGUUGUAUCUCACUGGGGCCAAAGUGACACUCAGCAGUUACAGCAUUUGAUAAGGUGGUGGUGAAUGAUCAACCAGCAGCACACCUGGGAGACGUCAGGAGUGGCGGGAAGUCGGCCUUCCCUGACUCACCGGCGUGGUGCCUUUUCCCAGCCACACCUCAAAGCUGAUGGUGAGCUUUCGUCUGCCUGCAGCUGAGGGAAGGAUGUCAUCAGAACUCUACACAGGGUGAGCAGGGGUCACUGCAUAGGUAACCAUAGUGACAUCCAAAUUAUACGGAAAUCCUUUCUUUCAUUCAUUCAUUCAUGCACACAUUCAUUCUUCCAUUCACUUCUAAUUAGUGUGUCAAAUGGGCUGGACUUGGUGGGAUGCAACCAAGAAAUAGCGUCUAUUUUUCUCCCUCUCUCAUCACUGCCCUUCCCACCUGCUCCAUCCGAUCUCUUCACUGGUCAACAUCUCAGGCAGAUUCCAUAACUACUCUGUCCCUUCCGGGUAUCAAUGACCUGUCCUCAUGUUAGAAUAUUAAAGAGCCCAUUCCAGAAUACACUUAAAACUUUCUCAUAAAAUUCUCACCAGAUUCAAAGCUCUUUCCUCUUCCCCCAGAUCAGGCCUGAGUCAAGCUCGAAAAAGUUGCACAGUCUGUCUUUUAUUAUUGUGUUGUCUCUUGCCUUUCAUUAGCCUCUUCUGACUCCCCAAGGUAGGGCAGAGAGUGGGGAGAAGAGGAAAGAAGCAAAAAUGUCUGUUUACUUAGCUGGGCCUGCUGUAAUCUAGCCAUCAGUGUCCUCUGAAUACAGAUGCUCAGGAAGUGGUUCUUUCUCUUGGAAGGCACUUUAGCGAGUUCCCUGGAUGUGCCCCACCCAACCCAGGCCCUGUGGCUUACAGUGCCUGCAGUUGGAACGAUGCCCUCUCUGGCUGGUUUUUAUGACUCCCCUGCAGUCCCAGUGUCAAUGGGAUACCCAACAUGGCCGCCUAAUGCCAGGUUCAGCUCUCCCUGGCAGUCAGGGACCUUGGCUGAUCCUAUCAAGAGGACUCAAGCCCAGCUUCCAUCCUCAGAGUGCACGUGGCCCACAGAAGAACUUUUCACGUAUUGUCCCAGCAAGCUCUGGAAGUGCUGGCCGCAUCGAAGAGUUUUUGUUCCCACAAGAUGGUGACAGCCAGGGCAGGCCUACAAGACCCUGCGGCUCAGCCAGCAUCCACCAGGAAGAGAGAUUUUAGUCUCUGCUCCUGGAAGAGUCCCCGACUCUCUGAGUGGUCCUCUUGGAGCCAUCCCUACUUGGCUCAAGGAUGGGGAAAGCCCUCCCUCCUCUCCUCCAAUGAGAAGAAAAGGGAAUUUGUGCACAAUACUCUUACUAGAAUUCCCUUACAAUCAAUCCAAAACCAUAUCUAUAUCCAUAUCAAUAUUUCUGUAUCUCUAGAUCAUUUUGGCCAACUCUUAAGUUAUGCAUGGAUAGAAGUUGCAUCUCUCUUUAGAAUGGGGCCACAUGUUACCCAUCUCAGCUUUGAGCAUCAGCAGAAAUUCUCAAACAACAGAAAAAUUCCAAUUUAACUUUCUGUUUACUAUUUCAUUCAUUCAUAAGAUUUAUUCAGCAAAUACUUUUCCAGAGUGUACCAUGUGCCCAGGACUGAGCCAAAGUAUACCCAGUAAGGAGCAAAACCAGCCUGGACUUGGCCCUCUUCUGCGUGGAUCCACCAAUUGCUAGCUUCUUGAAACCUUUCCAGAACACCUAAAUUUGAUUAAUUAACAUCCUAUUCACUCUGUUAUCCUGCACUGGUGGAUGGCUACAAAGACAGUUAUAACUUGGAGUUUGUGAUAAUGGCCCCACGUGCUAAAGAUCCUUUGAGUCAUCAAUGUUAACUGAAUCAUCAGGAUUGUUUUAGUGUUGAGUAUAUUUUGCUGCUAUUUGAUUCUGUAGCAACACAAACUUAGUUAUGCUUCUAUUUUAAUACUAAACAGACACAUGCUCUAAGAUAGACGUGGUUCCCUAUAAUCAGAAUAUUUGCUAAAUCUAUUAUUUGACCAGGCUGGGUUCAGAACAUUUUCCUGUUUGUUUACAGAGUAGUUCAUAGUUCAAUGAAGGGUAUGUGUGUGUGUGUGUGUGUGUGUGUGUGUGUGUGUGUGUGUGUGUGUAAGAUUUUUCUCCCAUUUUUGGAGUAUUUUCUUUUAUUAGAUUAAAUUUUCCUGGUAUUUUCCUUUUCAUCCAGAAAAUAAAAAUGCCGACUUUUCCUGGCUUAAAUGGAUGACUCGUUUAAAUAUUUAAUUUAACUUGAUUUUUUAAUGCAAAGUCACAUUUUCCUGUUUGGUUAGAGAGUAGUUCAUAAUUUAAUGAAGGGCAUAUAUGUGUGUGUGUAAGUUUUUACCCCUUUUUGCGUAUUUUCUUUUAUUAGAUUGACUUUUCCUGGUAUUUUCCCUUUUAUCCAAAAAACAAAAGUGCCAACUUUCCGGGCUUAAAUGGAUAACUCAUUGAAAUAUUUAGCUUGAUUUUUUUAAAUGCAAAGUCAUAUGUUUUUGAAACACUGCUCCUGUUCUUGGCAGCACCAAUCAAAAACAUUCAACUUAGAAUGUCUGCCUUGUUCCUGAAGUUGGAUUCUAUGUGUUUUGAUUUUGGGGGAAUUUUUUUCAUUUCAUUAAACCUCGGCGUAGAUGAAAAGUUUUGAUCUCAUGCAGGAAAAACACGAGAGAAUCUUCAUUGUUGUCAACUAUUUCAUUUAAAAAGUCUUGCAUUCUAACCCCGGUUCCCUGAUGCAAUAUAUAAAUCUCGUUAACCUUAUAAAUAUGAUUUUCCAAGAGCAAAGAACUUCUCCCUUCUUCCUUUAUUAUGUCUAAUUUGCAUACCAGCACAUAGUCCAAGUCUUGGCAGAUAAUAAUAUUUUAAAGGGCAUUGAAGUAUAAGAAUAACUACCUACUUGCAGAUGUGUUAUGAAAUAUGCCCCAUUAGUCACUUUGUAUUUGAAAGGCAGAAAAAUAGGCACCUAGCAACAGCAUGCCAUCACUCAGGCUUAGAGAAAAGCCAUCUUACAUCUAGGGGAUGUUACCCCCUCUUUUGGGGGCUGUCAGGCUAGUAUAUUUAAUCACACAAAGGAUCCUUACAAGGAGCCUCGGGUGUUGAUAGGCAUGGGGAAUGACAGUAAUGACAUCCCCCAAGGAUGGCUUUUGGCGGUGGAGGAGAUGGGCUUGUUGGGAGCCUUCCAGACAGGUUCCUAAGUCAGUCCUGCUCAGAGAGCCCCCGAGUCUCCACCUGGGAACUGUGCUUCCCCUUCUGGAAAGCCGUUCAUCCUCCCUCCCUCUCUUCCCCUCUAAGUGGAUUACUAGGAGGGGCUCCCCGGCCCCAGAACCCAGAAAUAAGGAUCCGGCACUUGACACCCAUUCAGGACCAACCUUCUCCCACCUGCCAUGGGGAAGCAUCAAAAUGCUGUGCCCACAUUAGCAUCCAAUCAGGCUGAAUUUCCAGAAGGUUCUUUCCUCACACCAGUUAGAACAAGAAAGAAGUGAUAGGAGGCAAGCUAAGGUGAUGAAGAGAAGAAGGAAGAAAUUCAAAAUCUAACAUUCAGCUGGGGAGAAAUUCCUCCAGCAACCCCUACAGGUGCUUGCAUCUGGGCCAGUGUAGGAGAGAGCCUCAGGGUCCCCCAGGCCAUUCCGCAGACAUUCGCUGAGUCCCUGUGGUGAAUUCAGGGACUCACACUGAGGCUACACAGCCUCAAGUGGUUCCCCUUCGGCAGGAGAGCUGAGCACCCAGGACAUGUCCCAGAAGCAGAAUGUUCUCUCUGUGCCAUGAGGACUUGGGAGCGGCCAGAAAUUCACUUAUGAUCAAGCCAACCCCUUGCCUUCAAGUUUUGGGCUAUGCUGGUUAAAUAGAAGGAUGUAAAGUGAGGCAGUGCAGCGGGGAUGCUCAUGGGGAAGCCCAGGGCUGGGGCGGAGAUGGACUUCCCCGUCUCCUUACAAAAUAAAAAGGAAAGAAGGAAGGGAGGGAGAGAAAGAGGACAAGGAAGACCAAAAAAGGAUACCUGUGAGAAAUAGAUGGUGGUGAUGAUCGUUCAACAUGUGAAUGUAAUUAAUACCACUGAACUGUACACUUAAAAAUGGUUAGAAUGGCGAAUUUCAUGUUAUAUAUAUUUUGCCACAGUUAAAAAAAAUAGUGUAGGGCCAGUCCUAGUGGUCUAGUGGUUAAGAUCAGUGCACUCUGCUUUGGCAGCCUGGGUUCAGUUCCUGGGCAUAGACCUACCCCACUCAUCUGUCAAUGGCCAUGCUGUGGCAGUGGCUCACAAACGAAAAGAGGAGGAUUGGCAGUGGAUGUUAUCUCACGGAAAAUCUUCCUCUGCAAAAAAAAAAAAAAAAAGUGUGAUAUCUCCAAAACCAUUGAACUGUACAUUUUAAAUGGUUGAAUUGUAUGGUACCUGAAUUUAUAUCUCAAUAAAGCUAUUUUUAAAAAAUGAUAUCCACAAGCAGUGUGUGUGUGUGUGUGUUUGCGUGUGCACGCAUGUGCGCAAGCCAGAGAGAAUGCCAAUUUCUAAGUUAAUCUACUUUGGGUGGAAAACUCGACAGAGUGAGGACUCAACAAAGGUGGGAGGAGAAAUGUAAGCUGUCUGCCCAUGGUUCGCAGGUGCCCUAGAGGAAGGGAGAAAGAAGUAAAGUGUGAUAAAUGCUAAAAUAAUAUCAUAAAUAGUACAGGCUUCACGUAUUUUUAUAAGAGGGAGGAUUCUCCAGCACAAAGUCCAUACCUGGUUCCACUUUCUGUCUGUACCUUGUUACAAAGUCAGAGGGAUGGCGGCUCUGCCUGCCGAGGCUCACGAAGGUGUGGCCGCUAAUGGUCACACUGAAGCUACUAUUUUCCCCUGGAAAUAUCUGGUGAUGUUUAGGAACGCAGCACAUGGCUUUUCUUUACACCUUGGAGCCAGAGUCCUUCUUCCUGGAGGGUCAACUCCAGUGUCAAAAGGGUGUGGUGGAGGCAAAGCUGGGUCUGGGUCAAAGACCUGCCUCCCUGCCCGGAAGACCUUGAGCAGUCAUUGGGUCAUCAGUCAUCAUCUGGGCUUCUUUGGCCAUAAAACACAGAUGCCUACACCUCCCCUGCCUUCUCCCCAAAGUAGCGUGAGAAGCAGAAUCCAAACAAGCUUACAUGUGAAGGCGCUCCGUAAACUGUGAGUCAUGGCCUUCGCGGACGUUCUUCUGGAUGCAUGUAAUAGAAACCCAAUAAAUAAGCAAAAAGGAAGGCACUGAGUUGAAAGGAUAUGAGGAAACCUCUCAGAAACCACAGGCAGGAAGUGAGGUUGGAUCCAGAAAUGGCAUCUGGAGAGCUGGGACCACAGGCAGCUCACCCCUUUGGCGCCUCUCUGCUUAUCCACCUGGUUUCAUUUCUCUCUCUCUGCAGACUGACUUCUGCUGUUCUGGCCUGCAGUGCCAAAGAUGGUCACUCCAUGGCACCUGUGAACACACACCCUCUGUUCAAGCCAGAAGUCUAGGCUUUUUCAUCAGGUCUUACUUCAAAUUAGUUCAUCCCAGGCUGGGGGUCCACUCCUUGUCCUAUGAGUCAGAAAUGCGAGCAGGGGUCGCAUGGGAUAAACUUGGCCAUCCUUCAUCCACCCUGUGGCUAUGAGCUGGGCAGGUACCAGGAGAGAUGCCAUUUAUAAACAUCAC